CCAGCCGUUGGUCUGGGUGUUUGGUGGCUCCACCCGGCUGAAUCUCAGGAAGAGCGAGAGAGCGAGCGAGCGUGUGUGAUAUUGGAUGCAUAAGGGCAUCUGUGGAUGAGUCUCUGGAGGUCUGUACUCUGAAAGGUGCUAGAAACAAAGCGUGUGAGUGUGAUCCGGACUCCAGAGCUCCUAACCCACCACGACCAUGGUAGGAAAAGGUGCCAAAGGGAUGCUGGUCACGGCUCUUCACUGCCCACUGCCUCAGAGCACAGGAGAGGUGGUGCGAAGCAGAGGGCAAGAGCAGGGCCAGCUCAUGGAUGGAUGGCUCAUGGAUGGACGGAGCAGGCCAGCUCUGAAAUCAGAAGGCAGGAAAAUACCCCAAGGGCGGCCAUUGUAUUCAUUCUCUGGGAAUAUUGCCUCAAGAACCAGUGAGACUGGGCAGCUGCCUGGGAGGAAGCCAGUGGCUAAGCAUGGCCCUUCCCUUGGCUCCUCCCUUCCCCAUAGGGAUUCUCCUAUUGCCAUUCUGAUUCAGUGAAAGACUGACCCAGGGUCUCUUGCAGAGCCCUCCCCAAACAAGCCCUGUCCCACCAAGGAUUUCUGGGACUCUUUUGUCCUCGGUCCAGAGACAUGCUGUUGGGGAGGGAGCCAAACAGUUGUGCUCCAGGCUGAGGACCCUGUCUCCUGCCUGGUCCUGAACUUCCAGCAUCCAGCUCUCAGUUCUGCCCUGGUCUGGCCAACUCCUGAUUGGAACAAGUCUGAAUGAAUUAGGCUUCUUAAAGUAUUCCUGAUCCAGCCUGAGCUCUAGAGUGCUCAGAUGUGGGCAGACAUGGAGGUCUCCAGACCCGCAUACUUGCUAGUGGGGAGUAGAUGCCAUAAUAGGAUCAAGACUGGCUUCCUUCUUGCCAGAAGUGUUGGAAUUGCCAUAGGCCUGUAGCAGAAAGUGGAAUGCAGCUCUGCCCCUCCCUCCAUGGAGAUUCUGAGUCCCGUGAAACUUAAGAAACCCUCUGAGGACUCACUGGGUGGUCUGCUUUCUGUGGAGUGACCCUGAAAGGACUGGGACGGGCAAGCAGGGGUGAUGUGGGACCCACGUGGGCAGCACAGAGAGCCUGAAUCCCAAGGUCCCAGAACCCCUGCCGGGGCUGAGCUUCCCAGACCCCAGGCUCUGCCGGCUAGUGCAUCUGUGGAAGGGAAUGCUGCCUUGGGACGCCUGUUCCCAGACCAGGAUGUACCUAAAGAUAGCCAGAGCAUAGUUUCCUUCGUGCCCUUUGGCCUUUGACAUGUGCCCACUGCUGCUGUGUCUGUGGCUCCGUAGCAGGUCCCCUGGGCACCCCCGGUGGUUGCUCGAGAUUCUAUUCUUUCUCAGUUCUGCUUAUGACCCUGGGCUACACUAUUCUCAGGACUCAGUUAGAAGCAGUGCUGCCUCCAUGUAGCCCUUGUCUCUGAGGAGCACCAUCCCUCUUUGCUAACCUGGGCAGCUGUAUCUGGACUUCACUAGCUGCCCGUGGUCCCCUAAGGGCAGAUCAUGAAGGAUGCUC
rnacentral:lncRNA from 1 species